AAGAGAUAACUCCAAGAAUUUUUGCUUGGUCGCUGGUUCAAGGGAAUUGUACUUCAUUGAGAUGGGAUAUUCUGAAGGGGAGGUGAAUGUACAGAGAGUGGUUUAAAUUUGACCUGCCUUGUAAACUACAGUGGAUAAAGGAGACUGUUGGAAAUACAAAUCUAGGACUAACGAUGUAAAUUUUGGGUCUUCAAUAUAAAGAUGAUUAUUAAACUAUUGGAUUAGAUGAAACUACCCAGAAUUAGUACCUAGGAAAGGAACCAGAAUUGUGGACAAACCCUCAGUUAUCCCAGUAUUCACAGGGCAAGAAAUAAGAAAUAAAAAUUCUAGCUGAAAAGGACUCAAAAAAAUGGAACAAUUGGAGCAUCCACACAAAUUAUGAAAGCAAUGGAUUUCAGGGGAGAAUAUACCUACUGAAUCCACCCACUUAAUAUGAAUCCAUGAAUCCAUACUGAUAUAACAAAAUAUUUCCCCGAUAAAUGGGGAAAAGGAAGCUUUGCCUUACAAUGGGUAGAAUACCAACAGGUGCAGCUGAGGCUAGAAAGUCACUGUUUUGCAACCAGGAUUGUAAUAAUUGAUUAAUGCAGGAAUCAUCAGCAGAUGCUUAGACUAGAGGUUAUAAGUUAAUGAGGAACAGAAUAUAUACAGAGCCUCGAAGUAUCUCCUCAAAGUAAUUAAUCACAUAUUAUUUGUAUAUGGAGAAGUAGUAACUUUACAAGGAGGAACCAGAGCGCAUCACUCUAAUCAAAUGAUCAGAGAUAAUAUCACUAAUGGGUCAAGCCAAAACUGUGCCUCCUGAUGAGAUGUACUGAAGCGGACACAGUGUCAUUUGUGUGGCAUUCCUACCAAACACGCAAACCUAAAUCUAAUCACAAGGAAGACUCAUUCUAUAAAAUAAUUGUCCGGUAUUCUUCCAGAAGUCAAUGUCAUGGAAGAUAAAUAUAGUCUGAGGAACUCCAGAUUAAAGGUGACAUAAUUGGUAAAUGUAGUCAUGCUCCUGGAUUGAAUCCCAGACUAUAAAAAAAGAAAAUUUUAUAGAGGAUAUUAUUGGUAAAAUUUGAUUAAUUCUAAUCAUGUAGAAUACAUGAUAGUAUUGCAUCAAUGUUACAUUUUCUGAAUUUGAUUCUACAGGUUUUUUUGGUUUUUUUUUGUUUUUUUUUUCGUCUUUUGCCAUUUUCUUGGCCCGUUCUUGCGGCAUAUAGAGGUUCCCAGGCUAGGGGUCAAAUCAGAGCUGUAGCCUCAGGCCUUCGCCAGAGCGACAGCAAUGCUGGAUCCGAGCCGCGUCUGCAACCUCACUCACAGCUCACGGCAACGCCAGAUCGUUAACCCACUGAGCAAGGGCAGGGAUCGAACCUGCAACCUCAUGGUUCCUAGUCGGGUUCGUUAACCACUGUGCCACGACGGGAACUCCAAUUCUACAGUUUUUUUAAAUGAUGUCCUACUUCUGAAGAAAUAACACAGAGACGUAAAGGAGUCAAGGGGCCUGAGGGCUCAAAUCUAUUCUCACAAUGUUCAGGGGAGAAAAUAAAUGACUGAGCCAGAAAGUGAUAAAUUGUGGCAAAAUGUUAGCAGUUAUUUGGUGAAUCUGGGUGAAGGGUAUAUGGAAGUUCUGUGUAUGAUUCCUGCAACUUUUCUCUAAAUAUAAAUUUAUUUCAAAAUAAAAGCUUUAAAAAAAUCCUUAAGAACCAGUACGGUAUCGGGCAACCAAGGAAAUACGGUACCAGGCAUGCGAUGGCUAGAAAACAGGUGAAGAAAUGUUUCAAGGGAAAGUCAUCAGUGACGUGUUAUAUAGCUUUACACCGCUGAAAGAUCAAGUUCACAUGGACAGAGAAAUGACCUUUGGAUUUGGCAGCAUGGAAGCAUAAUCAGAGUUUGUUCAAAAAAGAAUGGAAGGAAGGGGAGAGAGCAGAGAGAGCAACUGCAAAAAACACUUCCAAAGAGUUUGUUAGGGACAGAGAGCAGAGCUGUGGGGUAAUAAGAGGAGGAAGCUAUGUAGUCAAGGAAGCCUAUGUUAAAGACUGAAUCAGAACCCUCAGCUUUUUCCACUAAACUACUUUCAGUGUGAUUUCUGCCUUCCAAGAAAAUUUCUAAUUUAUACUUGGCUUGCAUGUAGAUCUCUCUACAUGCCAGGAUGUGAAUACUUUGGUUUCAUUACAGAGACUAUUCGCUGUAAAUGAACUAACUGGCAUUUCAGUUUCAUACAUAAGCUAGUUAAUAUGAUUCUGUCCUUGAGAGCUGAAUGAACUUGUUCUGCCAAGCACAAUUUGGGGUCAAGGAUGGGGUAUGUCUAAUUUUGCAGAGUUCAUUCAGAACUGCAUUGAACUUGCAAAGGAUAGUGAAUCAGCAACAUACUUUAUAUAAAAGAGCCAUUUUCCUUGAUAUCCAUAUUGUAAAAACAACUUUUCAAGAAAAAAGAAAAAAAAGAAAAAACCUACUACUUACCAUAAUUACAUCUCAGUAAUUGUAACUCUCAUACAUUUUUGCCAUAACUCGUGUAUAUGUAAGCUUGAAAAUUCGAUGGCCAUUCCUUGCACCAUGAAGAAUCAGUGGUAAUGAAUGACCCCAUGAAGCCUCUUGUGACACACUCUGCCUCCCUUUUCUGUUAGCAGGGCCAGCCCGGCUUUACCUUGAGGCUGAAAUGUUAUUUCUCUAUUGUAGCCAUAAGGCCCUUGCAACGUCUUGCAAAGUCUCACUGGAAACUUUCUGUAGCGAACAUUUCAACAGAAACCUCAUUGUUUUGUUUUGUUUAACUAAGAGAAACCUUUAUCAGUACCAUAGCAAGUUUAUUUUAAGUAAUGGCAAUGUUCUGGUCCUACUGGAUUAUUUAUUUUAGCAUAAUUUAGUCAUCUAGAAGAAAAACAUAAGUAAACCCAACAAAAUAACUCGCAUAAUUGCUCCUAUUCAUUGAGCAUUUACCAAGUGCAAAGAUUGCACUGGAAACUUUAUGAUAUCUCAUUAUUCCUCACGAAAAAUCCUCUGGGUUAGGCCAUUAUUAUCGCAUUACAAGAAAUGAGGCAAUUGUAGCUUAAAAUACCCAAAGUAGGAUUGGAAUUGAAGUUGAGCUGGCCCCCCAAAGCCUCUGCUUUUUCCUCUACGUGCAUUGCCUCCCUACCAUAAUGCUUUGCCAAUCACAGCUUCAUCUAAUCUGAUUUUACUUCCUUACUCUUGCUUUCUGUGAACAUCCAUUGAGAUUUUUAUAUUCAAAAAGACAUAGCCUACAAUUCUAACACUUUACAUUUUCAAAUGGUCUUUAAACCUGAAUUUAAGGAAAUUUGAGAGAAAAAUCGUUGAGCAGGUUCAGCCAGAGAAAUGUAUUGAAAAGGGAAUGAAAGCUAAGAUAAAAUUGUCACAUUGCGUGGUGUCUUAUACUGGCCACUUGCCGUCUCAGCAAUUUUGAAUUCACAUGCUUCUCUGCAGGUGCAGAUGAGUUGGACAUUAUUUGUAGCAUUUACCUGAUUUUUAGAAAACAGUCUAUAAUUAGCAAGUAUUAGUAUUCUGUACACCAUGCCAAGUACAUCAGAUCCUAAUGUACCUUUUCAAUAGGGAAACUAAUAGCUAGAAAUAUAGUUACUAAAAAUGGAUGGUGGCCUAAAAUCAUAUCCAUUUUUCCCCUUGUUAAUAGUAUCUAAGCUCCAUAGUCACAGGAUAUUAACUCGUGCAUUUUCAGCUUCUCCACUGGGGAUAACAAAAGCUCAACAGAUUCUCUGCUUCAAUUAGCAAAUUUUAUUUUGGUAAAAAAGAAAAUGUUUGAAAAUUUUCAUCUCACAAUUAACUCUUGCUGGGAGGAUAUAAAGCAACUGGUAGACUUCUCUAAGCAAUGCCUUUUACUCAAUAAAUAUUUUCUAAUGUACUGAUUUUCCCAUGGGAAGAACUUAAUUACCAGGAGGCAUCAGUAAAGAUAUAAAAGAAAAAAAAAGUGUUUAUAAUUGGACUGAGAAAAUUCAACUAGGAUGAAAUGGCAUUGUCAUCAAUGCCAUAUAUAUGUUUCCGUCUGUAUUUGGUCAAAUCUGUUUCCAUCUGAAUUUAAUUGACAAAAAGAGGUCAGAUCCAAUGAAUGGGGUUUUUAGAUAAGGACACAAUAAGAACCACUGAUUAUUAAAACAAAAUAGGGCUUAUAUGAUUUUUAAGGUACAGGCAUGAUGAUAGAUUAAGGCAGAUUUGUGUUGACUAUUUUAUAAACUAUCAUUUUACUGUUGUGUUUGAAACAGCACUUUAGUCAUCUGAAAGUAUUAAUGUAGUUUUUAAGGAUGAUUAACUUAUAUUCAAGAAAGGCUUUUACACUGAAAACGUAAAAUUCAAAAUUAUAUAAGAUAUAAAACCGAUAGCACCUACCUGAUUUCUUAUUUUUCUAUAGCUAUUUAGUCCAAUCUGAAAUUAUUACUACAGAUUUACCAUAUUAAUUAAUAUAAAUACAAUAAUUUGACACAUUGUAAAAACAUAUAUUGCUGUAAAUGAUUGGAAUAAUCUUUUAUUGGAAAGUGUGAUCAAUUCAACUUAACAAAUGUUCAUUAAGCACCUACUAUGGAGCAUCCCCUCUUCUAGGCACUGGGACUAUGCAAGUGAACAAAAGACACUGCUCCUGAUAGAGUGAAGCUUAGGUUACAAUAGGAGGAGACAGUCAAGUAACAAGUAUACUAGAAGUGCAGCUUAUAGGGUGAAUUUUGGUGGAAGGACAGUAGUUACUUGUGUGAUCAGAUACACCUCAUUUAGAAAGUGACAUUGAGCGUAUUUUAAUAUGGUAAGAUAUUUCUGCUGAUAUUUGGGUGAGAGCACUCUGGGCAGAGGGAGAAGGUCAUUCCAAGGCUGGGAGGCAGAAGCCUGCUGGCAUAGGUAGGGAGAGUAAGGGGGCCUGCAGGGCUGGCGUGGAACAGACCGUAGGUGGGGAGGUUGGAGGUGAGUGUGUUGGGUGCAGGGGGCGUGGAAGCAGAAUCACAGGGUGGUGGGGGCACCAACCUGAGAAUUUGUCCCUUCACCCCUAGUGAAAUGGGAGUCAUUGAAGGAUAUUGAGAGAAGAGUGACAUGGCCUGACUCCCAGUUUGAGAGGAUUACUCUGGGUGCAAAGGAGAAGAUUUUCAUACUAAGUGAAGUAAAUCAGAAAGAGAAAGACAAAUACCAUAUGAUAUCACUUAUAUGUGGAAUUUAAAAUGUGGCACAAAUGAACCUAUCGACAAAACAGAAACAGCAUCCAUCAGUAGAUGGCCCUUCACUGGAUGUUGGCACCCUGAACCCGGACUAUGGCAGUCAGUCUUUUACAUUCUUAGCAC
rnacentral:lncRNA from 1 species